ACGCAGAUCAGUUCAGGUGCGGUGUGAGGAGGGCACAUCAAGGCCAGGCUCAGAUGUUACUGCCUUUGAUGUUUUACUUGAAAACAUUGAGAGUAUAGAACAGAAGCUCAUGGAAGAUGAACUAGACAUGAACAAUCAAAGGAUAGUGACUAAAGUUAUGAAUGACUUGAAGCACCAGCUUGAACAAUUGCUCAUGAAACGUCUUGACUUGAAAUCCAUAGAGCGUGAGUUGAGAAAGACAAAAGCCAGAUGUAGUCAACUGAAAGAAGACAUUUCUAAGAAACAGAAGGAUAACAUGGAGUGAGUAUAUAGCUCU
rnacentral:sRNA from 1 species